rnacentral:rRNA from 1 species
UACGUAGGGUGCAAGCGUUGUCCGGAAUUAUUGGGCGUAAAGAGCUCGUAGGCGGUCUGUCGCGUCUGCUGUGAAAACUCAGGGCUUAACCCUGAGCUUGCAGUGGGUACGGGCAGACUAGAGUGCGGUAGGGGAGACUGGAAUUCCUGGUGUAGCGGUGAAAUGCGCAGAUAUCAGGAGGAACACCGGUGGCGAAGGCGGUUCUCUGGGCAUGUCCUGACGGCUGAG